CAACAUUUAUGUUCUAAGCCUAAGUAAUAGUUUAGUAUUUAGUUUAGUGUCUGUUUAAAAUGUUAAAUAACCUCUAAGAAUGUUGAAUGAGAUUCCAGUCAGAGUUAUGUAAAGGAAGACAUAGGCUUCCAAGGUAAAUUUGUUUGUAGGACAUGAUCAGGUUAAGACACAGGCUUCAAAGGCCAUCACUAAAUGAAGACUCUACAUUCCAAGGUAAUUUUUGUAAAUACAUAUUGAAUUAUUGUUGCAAAUGAACUUUGCACUAUUUAAAGAUCAAUUUUUGGAAGUUCAUUUCUUUGUAGGACCCAAUUGGAUGAAGACAUACACUUAAAAGCUAAGUUUUUCCACUUAAUUACUGGGUUUAUUGAAAUUAAAAUCAAUUUAGUAUUAUUAGCUAAU